GAUUUAUUCCCAUUACUUUGCAUGUCAAAGUGAAGAAAUUCAACCAAGCGCGAGUAAACAACAAGAGUAACUAUGACUCUUAAUAUAUCCAAAUGCCUUGUCAUAUAAUUAGUGAUGCGCAUGAAUGGAU
rnacentral:ncRNA from 1 species